AUUGAAAAUAAAAUAUGUAUCCGUAUAAUCCUGAUAAUUGGUUCGGGAGUUUCUACAGAAAGCCGUAAACUUUCUCACUAUGGGUAAAUUUAUAAUAUAA
rnacentral:ncRNA from 2 species